AUUGAACGCUGGCGGCAGGCCUAACACAUGCAAGUCGAACGAGUGGCGGACGGGUGAGCAAUGUCUGGGAAACUGCCUGAUGGCUGGGGUCAACUACUGGAAACGGUAGCUAAAACCGCAUAACUUCGGCUGUGCCCAGAUGGGAUUAGCUAGUGGGUGGGGUAAAGGCUCACCAAGGCGACGAUCCCUAGCUGGUCUGAGAGGAUGACCAGCCACACUGGAACUGAGACACGGUCCAGACUCCUACGGGAGGCAGCAGUGGGGAAUAUUGCACAAUGGGCGAAAGCCUGAUGCAGCCAUGCCGCGUGUGUGAAGAAGGCCUUCGGGUUGUAAAGUACUUUCAGCGGGGAGGCGUUACCCACAGAAGAAGCACCGGCUAACUCCGUGCCAGCAGCCGCGGUAAUAC
rnacentral:rRNA from 1 species